CUCCGAGACAGAAAUGGGUUUAGUUGUUCACAUCCAGUGCAUACAUAGACAGUAACUCCAGUGCUUUUUGAGAAGUGUUCUUGGUACGAUGGGGAGGAGCUUUUUGUGUAUCAAACCUAGAGUUAAACCAUGGCCCUUUGAGAUGCCUUGUCCACGUGGAUUCCACAUAUGCCCCAGGAAUGUAUGGACUGGAUUCUUUUAAGAGACAAAGCCAUUGAAGCUCAGCAUUAACUUUUGCUUACCUUCCUUCCUGUUGCAAGAAAAAAGUAUAACCUAUAUUUAAGAGCAAGAAUCUCAGGAGUAACUUCCUGAUCAGAACAGAUGGAAGGCAGGACACACAGCACAUGUGGAUAACAAGUCUUGAAGAACCACAGCUACUAUAAGGUAAAUACCCACCUUCCCUUUCCUCCCCCCCCCCCCCCCCCCAAAUGUCCACACAACUUCAAUUUGGGGGUUUGCAAGCACUUAAUAACAGAAAGUUGAUGAGGGUUGCCUUAAAAGAAUGGAUUCCAUACUGCCACUCAUCAUUUACAUUUGGCCCACAAGCCUAAGAGAAAAUUGCUCCUUCCCCCCCCCCCCCCAUUCUUGCUGUAGGCAGGCAAUGAAGGAGGAACAUCUGCCAGGCAGGCAGUGAAGGAAUAAAUGUGGGCAGAGCAAGAGCCAACCCACUCAGAAAGAUCUUUCUUGGCUUGAGCACUCAAGAGGCACUUAGUGAGAUAUUUGUUAUUCAUUCAGCAAACACCAUGAAGAGUCUUGAAAUACAUUUGAACAACUGUUUCCUGUCACAAUAAAAAGUCAGUCUCACAGCAUUCAACAUACAAGAUACGGAGUAUUGGAGUAGUGUGUCCAGCUCUGGGGCCCCCAACAGAAGAAGGAUGUGGACCUGCUGAGCAAUUGUCAUCAACAAAUCAGAUACAGAGUUCCUACAGAAGCUGACAUAAAGGCUUUCACCAGCAGUAUUUACUGCUGUACUGUUGUCAGGAUCAUGACGACCCUCACCAAGGAUAAGAAAACAUUUGCUCUGAUAACCUAUAGUCCCAUUUAGGACAGUCCCCAAGGGUCCCAUUUCACUGUCCUUCCUUAAACUUUCAGCUCACUCAUAUGAACUCCCUAACCUUGAAUGGAGGCAACUAUAACCC
rnacentral:lncRNA from 1 species